rnacentral:rRNA from 1 species
GACGAACGCUGGCGGCGUGCUUAACACAUGCAAGUCGAACGGAAAGGCCCUGCUUUUGUGGGGUGCUCGAGUGGCGAACGGGUGAGUAACACGUGAGUAACCUGCCCUUGACUUUGGGAUAACUUCAGGAAACUGGGGCUAAUACCGGAUAGGAGCUCCUGCUGCAUGGUGGGGGUUGGAAAGUUUCGGCGGUUGGGGAUGGACUCGCGGCUUAUCAGCUUGUUGGUGGGGUAGUGGCUUACCAAGGCUUUGACGGGUAGCCGGCCUGAGAGGGUGACCGGCCAAAUUGGGACUGAGAUACGGCACAGACUGCAACGGGAGGCAGAAGUGGGGAAUAUUGCACAAUGGGCGGAAGCCUGAUGCAGCAACGCCGCGUGCGGGAUGACGGCCUUCGGGUUGUAAACCGCUUUCGCCUGUGACGAAGCGUGAGUGACGGUAAUGGGUAAAGAAGCACCGGCUAACUACGUG